GGAUGAAGAACGUAGCGAAAUGCGAUAAGUAAUGUGAAUUGCAGAACUCAGUGAAUCAUCGAAUCUUUGAACGCACAUUGCGCCCCCUGGUAUUCCGGGGGGCAUGCCUGUUCGAGCGUCAUUUCACCACUCAAGCCUCGCUUGGUAUUGGGCAACGCGGUCCGCCGCGUGCCUCAAAUCGACCGGCUGGGUCUUCUGUCCCCUAAGCGUUGUGGAAACUAUUCGCUAAAGGGUGUUCGGGAGGCUACGCCGUAAAACAACCCCAUUUCUAAGGUUGACCUCGGAUCAGGUAGGGAUACCCGCUGAACUUAAGCAUAUCAAUAAGCGGAGGA
rnacentral:misc_RNA from 1 species